UGGUGGGGUGACUUGUCUGCUUAAUUGCGAUAACGAACGAGACCUUAACCUGCAAAAUAGCCCGCAUUGCUCCGGCAGUGCGCUGGCUUCUUAGAGGGACUUUCGGCUCAAGCCGAAGGAAGUUUGAGGCAAUAACA
rnacentral:rRNA from 1 species